rnacentral:rRNA from 1 species
GACGAACGCUGGCGGCGUGCUAACACAUGCAAGUCGAGCGGUAAGGCCCUUUCGGGGGUACACGAGCGGCGAACGGGUGAGUAACACGUGGGUGACCUGCCCUCAGCUCUGGGAUAAGCCUGGGAAACCGGGUCUAAUACUGGAUAUGACUCCAUGACGCAUGUUGGUGGGGUGGAAAGCCUUGUGCGGCUGAGGAUGGGCCCGCGGCCUAUCAGCUUGUUGGUGGGGUGANGGCCUACCAAGGCGACGACGGGUAGCCGGCCUGAGAGGGCGACCGGCCACACUGGGACUGAGACACGGCCCAGACUCCUACGGGAGGCAGCAGGUGGGGAAUCUUGCGCAAUGGGCGAAAGCCUGACGCAGCGACGCCGCGUGAGGGAUGACGGCCU